AAAGAGAGCUGAUUUACAGGCAUAAGGAGCCAUGUGCACUUCAGGCCCACGGAGUACCAAGAACUGUUUUCCAAGUCUUGGAGCAAGCACACUUAUGAUGGACCAAGGCUUCCAGGGUCGCCGAACAGCUACAUAAGAGUAUGUAUCUGCCUCUUCAAGGAAGCUUUCCCUCUGUCAUUGUGAAGAUUCUGUGGAGAUGGCCGAUGAGCUCUGACGACUGUGCCUGGCCGGUUACUGUGUGGCUUAGGGUCACUGUGCUGAGAAGACUGGCGUUUCCUAGGUCCUGGUAAGGGUCUAAACAACACAAGGUUAUUAAAGUCAUAAGUCCUG
ensembl:processed_transcript Gm20470 predicted gene 20470